CCUCGACGUAAUCUUAAAGUAGUGACACCCCCCAGAAAGGAAUUUUUGUGUCGAAUCGGUUGGUAAAGAGUUCUUGGCUCUCGCUCACACUUGCCAAGAUCGGAUUACUUUUCACAGCCUGGAGCUGGCCAGGAGGCUGGAGCUGGGCAGGGCUCCAAAGGUGCAGCAGCCACAACAAUCCCGCAGUUCAAAGUUAAGCAGCAGCGGUUGCACAACUUCCAGCAACUCUCACAGCCGGCCACUACAGAGCUGAAAGCCAGGAACCGCAGAGGAGGUGAAGAGGAAAUUUCUCGCCGUCUUUUCGUCCUGGAAAUACAGAUAUCUCCAUCCCCACCCCCAGAUAAAUUUGAGCUAAGGUCCUGUAUUCACUUGCCUUGCAGAUCAUGGCUCCCUUUGGAAGAAACUUGCUCAAGACUCGGCAUAAAAACAGGUAAAGACAAGUGUGUAUGUGUGAAAGAAUGUGUUUCCCUGGAGUUCUGCUAAAAAAAAGAAAAAAAAUAUUUCCCUUGAGGGACAAAGCCAUUAGGAGUUAGGUCUCGCACCAAUAAAUAUUUAGUUGGUAAGGAUAUUGUUCCAGUGUGGAUGAUGGCAGGUGACAAGGGUCACAGAAAAGAAAUAGUUAGGAUUUGUAACUCCUGUGGUCUCUUCUGCCAGACUUGGUUCCACAACUAGCACCACCAAGUCUCUCUGUUGCACUGCACCUUUGAGGGUAGUAGGAUGUCAAGUUUCAUUCUGCUACAGACAGAACAUUAGCAAAUUACAGAAAGGGUUAAAAUGUUGGUGAAGAUAGAGCCAGAAUUUAUAGCCAUUAAUUGGAACGGAAAACACAGCCUGCUGAUAGAAUCCGGAAACAGUGCUUUGGCUCCUCUGAAAGCUGGGCAUUCCUGAAAUCUAUAAAGUACCCAAAGUGAAAAUACUUUGUAGAGGAACUUUGUGUAAACUGAUUCUGUGGAAAAUCGUUCAGGACUUUAAACGUUUUAAACAUUAAAUGAGGACUCAACAGCUGUCCUCCUUUAUCUUUAUGAUUAUUGUUUUACUUUGAUUUCAUUUGCUAUUUCAAGCCUGUAACAUCUAUAGUAUAUUCAAAACACCCCCCCACACACAGUUUUGAGCCAGGA
rnacentral:lncRNA from 1 species